UACAGAGGGUGCAAGCGUUGUUCGGAAUUACUGGGCGUAAAGCGCGUGUAGGUGGCGAUGUAAGUCGGGUGUGAAAGCCCUUGGCUUAACCAAGGAAGUGCACUCGAUACUGUGUCGCUUGAGUAUCGGAGGGGGUGGCGGAAUUCCCGGUGUAGAGGUGAAAUUCGUAGAUAUCGGGAGGAACACCUGUGGCGAAGGCGGCCACCUGGACGAUCACUGACACUGAGACGCGAAAAGCGUGGGUAGCAAACAGG
rnacentral:rRNA from 1 species